rnacentral:snoRNA from 1 species
AAGCAAAUGAUGAAGCAAUUUGUAAUGAAACUGAGAUUCUCUCCGUGAGGUUUCUACAAAAUCGAGCUUUUUAAAACUGAUGCUUU